UGAGCUUACCUAUUGAUGAGCAAUGAGUUAAGAAAUGUGCUAUAGGGGUACAUACUUUUAUGGAAGAUGAAGAACUACUUCUGCCUCAUCUGCAAAUGAUGUCUCUAACAGCCAUGGCCUUUGUAGCAUUCUUAUUACUAUCAUUAUAUUAUUAUACAAUUUUAGUCAAUUUUGCAUUAUUAAACAUACUGUUUUGAUCUGAUAGCAAAA
rnacentral:lncRNA from 1 species